rnacentral:rRNA from 1 species
CCUACGGGUGGCAGCAGUGGGGAAUAUUGCACAAUGGGGGAAACCCUGAUGCAGCGACGCCGCGUGAGUGAAGAAGUAUUUCGGUAUGUAAAGCUCUAUCAUCAGGGAAGAAAAUGCCGGUACCUGACUAAUAACCCCCUGCUAACUACGUGCCAGCAGCCGCGGUAUUACGUAGGGGGCAAGCGUUAGCCGGAUUUACUGGGCGUAAAGUGAGCGUAGACGGCCAGACAAGUCAGAAGUGAAAGCCUAGGGCUCAACCCAGGGACUGCUUUUGAAACUGGCGGACUGGAGUGCAGGAGAGGAAAGCGGAAUUCCAAGUGUAGCGGUGGAAUGCGUAGAUAUUAGGAGGAACACCAGUGGCGAAGGCGGCUUACUGGUCUGUAACUGACGUUGAGGCUCGAAAGCGUGGGGAGCGAACAGGAUUAGAUACCCGUGUAGUC